CCUACGGGAGGCAGCAGUGGGGAAUAUUGGGCAAUGGGCGCAAGCCUGACCCAGCAACGCCGCGUGAAGGAAGAAGGCUUUCGGGUUGUAAACUUCUUUUAUCAGGGACGAAGAAAGCGACGGUACCUGAUGAAUAAGCCACGGCUAACUACGUGCCAGCAGCCGCGGUAAUACGUCGGGGGCAAGCGUUAUCCGGAUUUACUGGGUGUAAAGGGCGUGUAGGCGGGAGUGCAAGUCAGAUGUGAAAACUAUGGGCUCAACCCAUAGCCUGCAUUUGAAACUGUACUUCUUGAGUGCUGGGGAGGCAAGCGGAAUGCGGGGUGUAGCGGUGAAAUGCGUAGAUAUACGGCGGAACACCAGUGGCGAAGGCAGAUUGCUGGACAGUAACUGACGCUGAGGCGCGAAAGCGUGGGGAGCAAACAGGAUUAGAUACCCCAGUAGUC
rnacentral:rRNA from 1 species